rnacentral:rRNA from 1 species
GCACGAAUGGCAUAAUGAUGGGGGCGCUGUCUCCAGCAGAGACUCAGUGAAAUCGAAUUCGCCGUGAAGAUGCGGUGUACCCGCGGCUAGACGGAAAGACCCCGUGAACCUUUACUGCAGCUUGACAUUGAACUUUGAUCUUACUUGUGUAGGAUAGGUGGGAGGCUUUGAAGUCGCGACGCUAGUUGCGAUGGAGCCGUCCUUGAAAUACCACCCUGGUAAUAUUGAGGUUCUAACUCUGUCCCGUUAUCCGGGACGAGGACCAUGUCUGGUGGGUAGUUUGACUGGGGCGGUCUCCUCCUAAAGAGUAACGGAGGAGUACGAAGGUGCGCUCAGCGUGGUCGGAAAUCACGCGUAGAGUAUAAAGGCAAAAGCGCGCUUAACUGCGAGACCCACAAGUCGAGCAGGUACGAAAGUAGGUCUUAGUGAUCCGGUGGUUCUGUAUGGAAGGGCCAUCGCUCAACGGAUAAAAGGUACUCUGGGGAUAACAGGCUGAUACCGCCCAAGAGUUCAUAUCGACGGCGGUGUUUGGCACCUCGAUGUCGGCUCAUCUCAUCCUGGGGCUGAAGCAGGUCCCAAGGGUAUGGCUGUUCGCCAUUUAAAGAGGUACGCGAGCUGGGUUUAGAACGUCGUGAGACAGUUCGGUCCCUAUCUACCGUGGGCGUUGGAAAUUUGAGAGGAUCUGCUCCUAGUACGAGAGGACCAGAGUGGACGAACCUCUGGUGUACCGGUUGUCACGCCAGUGGCAUCGCCGGGUAGCUAUGUUCGGAAGGGAUAACCGCUGAAAGCAUCUAAGCGGGAAGCCUACCUCAAGAUAAGAUUUCCCCGAGACUUUAUGUCUCCUAAAGAGCCGUUGAAGACUACGACGUUGAUAGGUUGGAUGUGGAAGCAUAGUGAUAUGUGAAGCUGACCAAUACUAAUUGCUCGUGAGGCUUGACUAUACAACACCCAAACAGUUG